rnacentral:rRNA from 1 species
GACGAACGCUGGCGGUGUGCUUAACACAUGCAAGUCGAACGAAGAGCGAUGGAAGCUUGCUUCUAUCAAUCUUAGUGGCGAACGGGUGAGUAACGCGUAAUCAACCUGCCCUUCAGAGGGGGACAACAGUUGGAAACGACUGCUAAUACCGCAUACGAUCUAAUCUCGGCAUCGAGGAUAGAUGAAAGGUGGCCUCUACAUGUAAGCUAUCACUGAAGGAGGGGAUUGCGUCUGAUUAGCUAGUUGGAGGGGUAACGGCCCACCAAGGCGAUGAUCAGUAGCCGGUCUGAGAGGAUGAACAGCCACAUUGGGACUGAGACACGGCCCAGACUCCUACGGGAGGCAGCAGUGGGGAAUCUUCCGCAAUGGACGAAAGUCUGACGGAGCAACGCCGCGUGAGUGAUGACGGCCUUCGGGUUGUAAAGCUCUGUUAAUCGGGACGAAAGGCCUUCUUGCGAAUAGGGAGAAGGAUUGACGGUACCGGAAUAGAAAGCCACGGCUAACUACGUG